ACGACUCUCGGCAACGGAUAUCUCGGCUCUCGCAUCGAUGAAGAACGUAGCAAAAUGCGAUACUUGGUGUGAAUUGCAGAAUCCCACGAACCAUCAAGUUUUUGAACGCAAGUUGCGCUCGAGGCCUUCUGGUUGAGGGCAUGCCUGCCUGGGCGUCACGCCAAAAGACACUCCCAACCCAUCCUUGGGUAGGGACAUGGUGUUUGGCUCCCCGUGCCUCAUGGUGUGGUGGGUUGAAGUUGGGGUUGCCGGCAUACUGUGUCGGGCACCUGCAUGUGGUGGGCAACAUAAGUUGUUCUCGGUGUAGUGUCCUGGCGCGCAGCUAGCUCCUUGGCCUAAAGGACCCAUUCACGCCCGUAGCGCCUUGGUGCUCGGACCGCGACCCCAAGUCAGACGGGACUACCCGAUGAGUUUAAGCAUAUAAAUAAGCGGAGAAGAAGAAACUUACAAGGAUUCCCCUAGUAACGGCGAGUGAACCGGGAGUAGCCCAGCUUGAGAAUCGGGUAGCCUCACUACCCGAAUUGUAGUCUGGAGAGGCGUCCUCAGAGACGGACCGGGCCCAAGUUUCCUGGAAAGGGACGCCUGGAGGGUGAGAGCCCCGUCUGGCCCGGACCCUGUCUCACCACGAGGCGCCGUCAACGAGUCGGGUUGUUUGGGAAUGCAGCCCAAAUCGGGCGGUAAACUUCGUCCAAGGCUAAGGGCCUGUUUGGGACUGCUCUGCUUCACAAAUCACAGCUCAGCUUCAUAAACUUCACGGCAGAGCAGCUCAGCUUUGAAGUUGCAGAGUUUUUUAAAGUGUUUGGCUAGCUGACCAACUUCAGCUUUAGAAAAAUGAUAUUUGGAUUGGAAAAGUCCCUUAUACCCUUGAACGAUGUAUGAGAUGAUUUCAUUUAUGAUUUUUCAUCUAAACGCUCAAUUAAAAAAUAACAGUACAUUAUAAAUAGAUAAUAAAGUAGUAAUAGAAAGUUAUAUAGUGAGUACAAAUUACAAUAUUCAUAAAUAUUCCAAAAUAAUUCCAUUACAUAUCAAGUCUCAAUGAUCUACUACUACUACAUCCAACUUUGAGAAAUAGUCGUUGCUAAUGCAUAAUGAAAAAUAUCCAUAGUAGGCGCAUUGGGUACUGGAGAUGAUCCAUCCGAGGGGACUGCAUACUUGUUAUACCAAUUUUGGAAGACUAGAGAGGCGGGCAAGGCCACUGGUGCCUCCCUUGUAGCUGCCCGCACCGGCCCUCCCAGUGCCUUCCCUACUGCCGGCCGCGCCACCCGCGCCGGCCGCGCCGCCGGCGCCCUGGGCCGCCCCGGCCGCGCCCUGACCUGCGCCGCCAGUGCCCUGAGCCGCCGCGCCGCUCGCGCCCCGAGCAGCCGCGCCGCCCGCGCCACCCGAGCCCGAAGCAGCCGCGCUGCCCGCGCCCCGAGCCGCCGCGCCGCCCGAGCUGCCCGCGCCCUGAGCCGCGCCGCGGGGCGUGCCGCCCGCGCCCUGGGCAGCUGUGCCGCUCGCGCCUCUGCCUCGGCCCCUGCUGCCGCGUCCAUGGCCAGCAACCUCCAGUGGCAUGGACAUGGCCGGCGGCUAGGGUUUUGGGGGAGCGGAUAGAGGAAAAAUGGGGGCGCUCGGAAAGGACAGAGAGGAAGAGCCGGGGGGGGGUCGCGGGUACGGGAAAGAACAGAAGAGAAGAAAACGUUUCAUUCCGAGUGUGUAAUCAGUGGCAUUGGUGGGUAAUUUUCCCCCAACUUCAUGAGGGAGUUCAAAACGACUAUUCAUGAAGUACCAUUUUGGCUGCUUCAUGGAUUUCGUGAAGUUGAGGCCAACUUCACGUUUUUUGGUGAAGCUGAGCUGGUGAAGCUGUAGGUGUUUGGCUACAGUUUCAUGAAGCGAAGUUGAAUUUGGUGAAGUGAAGCAGUCCCAAACAGGCCCUAAAUACAGGCGAGAGACCGAUAGCAAACAAGUACCGCGAGGGAAAGAUGAAAAGGACUUUGAAUAGAGAGUCAAAGAGUGCUUGAAAUUGCCGGGAGGAAAGCGAAUGGGGGCCGGCGAUGCGCCCCGAUCGUAUGCGGAACGGCUUCUGCUGGUCUGCCGAUCGGCUCGGGGCGUGGACUGUUGUCGGCUGCACCGGCGGCCUAAGCCUGGGGGCCUUAGGUGCCUCCAGUGCUGUCGUCAGCACGGCCGGUUCUCGCGCGCCUAAAGGCGUGUCCCUCGGGAUGCUGCGCUGCAACGGCCUGCGGGCUCCCCAUUCGACCCGUCUUGAAACAUGGACCAUGGAGUCUGACGUGCGUGCGAAUCGACGGGUUCUUAAACCUGGGAUGCGCAAGGAAGCUGACGAGCGGGAGGCCCUCACAAGCCUACGCAGAGAGGCUGCUGGUGUUGAUCGUUUUGACGAUCUUGCUGCACGCUCUAGCACGUUCGAGUGUGUGACCAGAUUUUGCUUCAACAGCCAGAUCCGACGGUAAACGGGCUAAUGGGCUUGGACUCGGAGGGUGGGAGGGGGAUUUUCCAGCUGGACUGCUAUAGCCUCAACACGUGCCGGGAAAAAAUUAUAGUGUGCUAUUGCUUGAAUGUUCCAGAUAACGCAAGUGUCCUAAGAUGAGCUCAACGAGAACAGAAAUCUCGUGUGGAACAAAAGGGUAAAAGCUUGUUUGAUUCUGAUUUCCAGUAUGAAUACGAAUCGUGAAAGCGUGGCCUAUUGAUCCUUUAGAUCUUUGGAGUUUGAAGCUAGAGGUGUCAGAAAAGUUACCACAGGGAUAACUGGCUUGUGGCAGCCAAGCGUUCAUAGCGAUGUUGCUUUUUGAUCCUUCGAUGUCGGCUCUUCCUAUCAUUGUGAAGUAGAAUUCACCAAGUGUUGGAUUGUUCACCCACCAAUAGGGAACGUGAGCUGGGUUUAGAUCGUCGUGAGAUAGGUUAGUUUUACCCUACUGAUGACUGUGCCGUGAUAGUAAUUCAACCUAGUACGAGAGGAACCGUUGAUUCACACAAUUGGUCAUCGCGCUUAAUUGAAAAGCCAGUGGCACGAAGCUACCGUGUGUCGGAUUAUGACUGAACGCCUCUAAGUCAGAAUCCAAGCUAGCAACCGGUGCCUGUGCCCGCCGCUCGCCCGGACCCACAUUAGGGCGUUCGCACCCCAAGGGCCCGUGCCAUUGGCUCAGCCUGCCCGGCCGAUGAGCUGUGGCAAGCCGCCUCGAAGCUCCCUUUCUCAUGGGCGGCGGGCUGAUCCUUGCAGACGACUUAAAUAUGCGACAGGGCAUUGUAAGUGGCAAGCGGCCUUGCUGCCACGAUCCACUGAGAUCUAGCCCGCGUCGCACGGAUUGUCCUCCGCACGGCU
rnacentral:rRNA from 1 species